UACCCCGUCCGGUAUGAGGGUGAAACGGGCCGUCCCCAUACCCCAUCCGGUAUGGGCUCCAAAACACAUAAGGUCUCCAUACCCCGUCCGGUAUGAGAGACCACAAUCCCGGUAGGGUUCCCUACGGACCCGUUCCGUCCACAUCUCCUAGGAUAUCUAGUCAGGCUGACCACAUUAUACAAUUAUCAAUUUACAUAACCUUUCAUUCCCCUUUUCCUCAGUCAGCAUCAUCAAUUCACACACACAAACAAGCAAACCAGUAAUUUAUGCCAAACAAGACGACAUACAACAUCGGGUUCUCAGUCAUUCAACCCAUAAUCAAUAAAACAGUAAAAUAUGCACAUGAAACUAUGAAAUGAGAACAUCAGACAUCAUACUGCAUUUAAAACUGUAAAAUAGAACAAAUAACAACUGACCGACAAAUACACCAGACUCGGGCUCCAUUAGCGACCUUAAACAAUUUCACACAUCUAUUGAUUCAUGAAAUACCGUUUUAUCAUUUAUUGAACUUUAAUACCGUGAUAGGAAAUAGGGUGAGGGGUCCUUACUUGUUUCGGGGUCCGAAAACGGCUCUACAGUGCACCUACAGGCUGUCCCUAAUUUUUCCUGAAUUUUUUCCGGGGAACUGAAACGCACUACUGGUACCUGCACAUGUCCCAAAAAUUCCAAAUUAGACCUAGGACCCCUUUCGACCAAUAUCGCAAUUCCGGCACGGCGGCUCCGCCGUACUCCGGCGAUUCGCCUCGGGUUGGCCGUUUUCGGUCGAAUUCGGCCACACUUGCAUCAGUCCCUGCGAUAAAACAACCCUAGGGCCCUCGGGGGGCCAAAAAAUUACGAAAAAUCGAAGCUUACCGGCGGCGGUGCUCUCGGUUGUGGCGGCUCUCCGGCGAGGUUCGUGUUUUGGUG
rnacentral:lncRNA from 1 species